CCCUUAGAUGUUCUGGGCCGCACGCGCGCUACACUGACGAAUGCAACGAGCUUAUAACCUUGGCCGAAAGGUCUGGGUAAUCUCCAAAUUUCGUCGUGAUGGGGAUAGAUUAUUGCAAUUAUUAAUCUUCAACGAGGAAUGCCUAGUAAGCGCAAGUCAUCAGCUUGCGUUGAUUACGUCCCUGCCCUUUGUACACACCGCCCGUCGCUCCUACCGAUCGAAGAGUUAGGUGAAUUGUUUUGAUCGAUAAGAUUUGACUAUGGUCAACUCUCGUUGUGAAAUUCUGUGAAUCUGACUGUUUAGAGGAAGGAAAAGUCGUAACA
rnacentral:rRNA from 1 species